AAGGUCUCCGUAUGUGAACCUGACGGAAGGAUCAUUACACAAUAAGAAGGCGGGCUGGAUACCCCCAGCGGUGCAUCGCUUCACGGCGUGCGCAGCUGGGCCGGCCUUGCUGAAUUAUUCACCCGUGUCUUUUGCGUACUUGCUGUUUCCUGGGCGGGCUCGCCCGCCCUCAGGACAAACCAUAAACCUUUUGCAAUAGCAAUCAGCGUCAGUACCAAUGUAAUAAAUUACAACUUUCAACAACGGAUCUCUUGGUUCUGGCAUCGAUGAAGAACGCAGCGAAAUGCGAUACGUAGUGUGAAUUGCAGAAUUCAGUGAAUCAUCGAAUCUUUGAACGCACAUUGCGCCCUUUGGUAUUCCAAAGGGCAUGCCUGUUCGAGCGUCAUUUGUACCCUCAAGCUUUGCUUGGUGUUGGGCGUCUUGUCUCCCCGUUUGCGGGAGACUCGCCUUAAAGUCAUUGGCAGCCGGCCUACUGGUUUCGGAGCGCAGCACAAGUCGCGCUCUCUUCCAGCCAAGGUCAGCGUCCAGUAAGCCUUUUUUCAACCUUUGACCUCGGAUCAGGUAGGGAUACCCGCUGAACUUAAGCAUAUCAAUAAGCGGAGGAAAAGAAACCAACAGGGGAUUGCCCUAGUAACGGCGAGUGAAGCGGCAACAGCUCAAAUUUGAAAUCUGGCUCUUUUAGAGUCCGAGUUGUAAUUUGCAGAGGGAGCUUUGGCUUUGGCAGCGGUCCAAGUUCCUUGGAACAGGACGUCACAGAGGGUGAGAA
rnacentral:rRNA from 1 species